AGUAGGCCGGAAUCGUAUCAAAUCAAUCCCUGCACAAUAGUAGGCUGGAAUCGCAUCUCCAAAUCAAGCUAGAGAAAUUGCACCGGACAUGUGCUCCAACUAACAAAUUACUUAGCUUGCCCGUUUCUUCAAGUUCAAUCUACCGCGCGCGAGAUACAGGUGUUGCUGCUACUCUCCGAUCCAACCAGACACAUAGCCGCGUGAUAGCCACGUGUCAUCCCUGCCCAAUCUGUUUCCAAUAGUAUUAUGGUUACUUCUAGUAGCUUCUUGAAGGUUUUUUCAAACCCCUAACAUGCUUAAUCAUUUAUUUCGUAUAAUUUCAAACAUGUUAGUUGUUGUUCAACUUUGAUGAAUAAUUUUAAACAUGUUAUUUCAAAUAA